AUUGAACGCUGGCGGCAGGCCUAACACAUGCAAGUCGAACGCGUGGCGGACGGGUGUGUAAUGUCUGUGAAACUGCCUGUUGUAGGGGGAUAACUCCUGUAAACGGUAUCUAAUACCGCAUACCAUCAGAUGUGCCCAGAUGGGAUUAGCUAGUAGGUGGGGUAACGGCUCACCUCGGCGACGAUCCCUAGCUGGUCUGAGAGGAUGACCAGCCACACUGGAACUGAGACACGGUCCAGACUCCUACGGGAGGCAGCAGUGGGGAAUAUUGCACAAUGGGCGCAAGCCUGAUGCAGCCAUGCCGCGGGUAUGAAGAAGGCCUUCGGGUUGUAAAGUACUUUCAGCGGGGAGGCGUUACCCGCAGAAGAAGCACCGGCUAACUCCGUGCCAGCAGCCGCGGUAAUUC
rnacentral:rRNA from 1 species